AGUCUGAGAAGGUGGUGCUGCCACAUGGUUGCCAUUAGCUCUGCACUUAGAGGAGGGACUCCCCCUCCUCAAGGGACCCAGCCUGUGAGGAGAGGCCACUGGUCUCUGGGUCCUGCUGUGUGGACAGGCCAAAUGUGGCUAGUUCUGCUCAUGCUGGCAAAAUAGCAGAUGAAUUCCAGAACUGCUAUGAGAAGGAACUGCCACUCUGGGAUGGAGAAGCAUCCUUGGGGUGACGCUUGCAACAACAAAACAGCUCCCAGAAUUGUCCAGCCCCUCAUCCUGCCAGAGCCUUCCAGGAAGCAGUGGUUUGUAGUGGCCCAGCCUCAGUAUCACAAAGCAGAGCAGAGGAAGGAGAGUUUGGAGCUGCGAGACAAUAGCUUCAUUACUGAUGAGAUCAUCAUGUUUAUCCACAGGGAACAAGGAUUUUAAAAGGUAGAGGUGAAAAAGGAAAGAGUGUUCUGGCUGCGAGGACAGCAUAAGCAAAAAUAGAGACCCAGAAACAGUUGCUGGUUGAACAUGGCUAACGCAUGGGAUUCAAGAGCACAGAGGACAGAUGAAAAAUCAAGGAAGAACAAAAGUGAGAAAGUGCAAGGCUGUCCUGUGUGGUAGAGGGGCCUGGGGAGCAUAUUGGCAAGUCAGGGCAUUUCCUGACGGUCAUUCAGAACCCAACAAACAUUUUUAGUCAGGCAAGUAAAAUGAUCAAAGAUAGGAUUUACGAUCACAGCAGUAUGGAGACAGGAAUUAUCACUCUCUUCAUCUUUACAAAUUGCCACAAAAGCAGCCAAAGAAUGGCUUUAUUUUAGCUACAUCAACCAUUCUGCCUAAGUUUUCCAAGACGAACACAGUGUUCGAAUGAGCACUUUUUAAAUGGAAGUUGGUAAAAGGUUUUUUUGCCCCAAAUUUCACUGGCCUCAUUUGGCUUGCUUCCAGGUUUAAAAUCACAGAUUUGCUUAUCAACUACAAAGGGAGAUAUAGUUACUUCACGCAGGAGAAACCUGGCAAAUGUCAAUUUACCAAGCCGUGAUCAAAGAAAACAUCACUUGCGAUAAGACAUACCAACAUCAUGAGUCCUUCCUAUCAGUCACUGAGAAAGAUAGUAUUUUUGUGGAAUUCAUGCUGAAAAUGCCUACCCUCAGCCCAGUCAUGAGAAAACACUGGACAAACCCAAACUGAGAUCCAUUUAGAAAAUUACUGACCAAUACUUUUCAGAAGUGUCAAGGUCAUAAGGACAAGGAAUGAUAGAGGAACUAUCCCAGGUUGGAGGAGAGUAAGGAAAAAUAACAACAAAAUGCAAUGUGGGAGCCUGAACGGGAUCCUGGAACUGAAAAGGAGCAUUAGAGAAAAACUGGUGAAUUUCAGAUAAGGAGAACAUGUCCUAGGUAGUGGCCAGUGCCAGAAUGAUGUAGGCACAAGGAGUAGAUCUGAACCCAACUGGCCUCCCAUCUGGGUGAACAGCAACCAACCCACAGGCCCAUGGACAAGAAAAAUCAAUGUUUUCUACUAUGACAACACAGGUCCAGAUCUUUCCCCAAGGCCAACCAGCUGACACACGCUCAGGCAGAGGAUCAAACCCAAACAUGUCUGGACAUGGGGGCCAAGCACUAACUACCACACUGCGUGGUCUCUCAAAGCAAAAGAAUACGAAGACCACUAUCCAAUGGAAACGCUAUCAUUAACACCUAGAUUAUAGAAAUGCCUCUUUCUGGCUUAAAUACAUCUCAUGGCUACUGAUCUAUUCGAUGGUAUUUACACUAUCUUAUUUUAUAAUUUCCUUGUGUAAAAUAUACUGAACCUCACAAAACUGACAUUUUUGUAGGUUGAAAAAUGGCCAACUCCUAGCGAUUUCAUGUGUUAACGCAUACACUAAUGCAAGUAAAAGAUGUGAGCUGCUGAAUAAAUAAUCGUAAAAUAAACAAGUAUGGCACCACCAUCUAGAUGAGGAAGUGCCCUGAAAGAACUCCAUGUUUCCCUUCCCAGUGAUGUGUGGCCAGGGAUGUGCCACGGGUGAAGGAGAUGGGAGUGGUCCACCCUGGCAGCAGACAAGAAGGGAGCGUUGCCUUCUCAAAAUGACCCACUUUAGAUACUCCAGGCACUCAUUGCAGGUGUCUGCUCUGAAAGAGGAAUUCUCAACUCAAGGACAGGAAGAGAGCGAGACAAAAUACUUCAACAACUCCCACAGUGCUUAGCUUCCAGAUCAUUUAGAGCAAUUUAUCACAGCUUUUCCACAAGACAGUUUGGAGUCUUAAUGAACUACAGGGAGGGCCUGCUAUCCCACUGCACUCCUUCCCCAGGGCAAAUCCCAACUUCCAGCCCCACCAGCAGAAUGAAUCGCCCCCUUGUCCACUGUCCCUGAGCCCAUGAGAGCUGAAAGGUGAGGACCUGGAUUGGCCUUUCCUGUGGUCACUAGUCUUUGUGCGGCUGCACUUUCCCUGGGUCAGGUAAAUUCUUGGCCAUGGCCCCAGCUAAACAGCCAGGUACCCGACGGUUUAGCGUGGCUCUCAGCUAAGGCCCACUGGAGGCUGGUAUCCAAGACAGCUUAAACACAAUUAACUUUUCAUUUGACGUGGCCUGCCUCUCUCCACUCCUAAUGUUCCCGUAGGACCUGAGAUCCAAUAAAGUCCAGCCUGGGACUAAGAAAACCAGGCAGAGAAACUGACCAAAUAUUGUUCAAUGCUGCAUUACAAACCUAUGGGAAAGGAGUUUAAUUAAAGACCACAACAAUUCUUUGGGGAAAUGUUUCUUUUAUUAACCAUUCCUGCCGAACAAAGCAGCUUUAAACAAACCCUGACUGCUUGAAAAUUGUGUAUGCCUGAGAUUUCUUUUUUCUUUUUUUCCUUAAUCUGUUCUGCUUUUUGGUUAUUUGGUCAUUAGGAAAAUCAGCAGUGUCUUGGACCCAAGAAAUCCAAUUUAAGCGAGCUCAUUCCACAUUUAUAAAUAUGAGCAGAUGACAUUUAAAACAGACAAACCAGUAGGGACAGUUCUAAGUGUGAAAUUGUUGUUCAGCAUAAAGUAUUAUCAUAAAUAUAUAGAGGAGCUAUUUGUGGAUCAACUAACAAGUUCAAGGCAUUUCAGUGAAAUCUAUGCGCAGCCUGAAUGUGGAUACAACAUUUAUAAAUGUAGAGGAAAUGCAAUUCUUUUAUGCUCUAGUGUAAUAAAACCACUAGUUAGUGUCACUGAUAUGAUAGCCCCAAUUGCAAAAGAGUGAAAAAGCAGAAAUCAAAAUGGAAGAACCACAUCUAAUGGAACAAUGAAAUUAGAUUUUAAAGUAUUAUUGGAAAAGAGGAAAUACCACUGAGGAGUGAAGACAUGACUGUAUGAAUUCUUAAAAACUCAAGGAAAGUCAGAGGACAUACACACUUAAACCCGAUCCAUGGGAAUGUAUGAACAUUCCGAGGCCAUCAAUAAGUUGAAGGCACAUCUUUUGUGGAGACUUGCUCUUGAAGAAGACGUGCAGGACAAUGAGAACACAUGAGAAAGUGAGUUUGCUUUUCUCAACCAUGCCAUGAAAAUAUGCAAGAAAUGAACACUGUGUAAACACGGAAAUUAUUAAGCUUGGGCUAUAAAAUUCUCCCACCAACAUUUUCACUCCCAAUAAAUGCACUUGUUUCUGAAUUAUGCUUAUAUUGUGACCCCCUUACUAAGGCAUUUAUUCUCUAGGAGACUUUCUUUUGCUCCAACCUGCGUGAGUUACAUGUGGCAAAUAUUGUUUUCCAAAUAUGGUUUAUCCAACGUCCCUCAUCCCACAUGCUCUUUUGGCAGUGAAACCUAUGUCCCCUUGAAUCUGGGUGGGCCCCAGGAAUGCACAGCCCAGCGUUAUACAGCAGAGGUGACACUGUGCCAAGUAUCCACAUAGACUUUAAGUGAGCUGGUGGCUUCCAGUUCCUGCCUCUUGAAAGUUAGCUGCUAUAAAAGAGUACCAUUACACUGACACCACGAGGCCCUGAGUAGCCAAGCCAUAUGGAGAGGCCGAGGAGGGUGUGGACAGAAAGACAGGCCAAGGAGCAUUGUUGGCAACAGACAUACCAUUAAAAAGGCCGUGUUGGAAGUGGAUCCUCCAUAGGAACAGCUGGUGGACUGCAGUUCAAAGUCCUACUGCGUUACCAAGUCCUUCCCUAACUCCU